rnacentral:rRNA from 1 species
ACUGGGAUGAAAGCACGCUAAUUAUGCCCGAUCUCGUCAGCUCUCCGAAGCUGAGCAGGUGUAGAGCCUGGUUAUUACUCGGAUGUUUGCCUGCCUUGGAAUGCCCGGGUGUUGUCAGGC